AGUGGAAAGAGAGAACUGGGUUCCGACUGUUAGCCACAACAUCUGGUGUCUGGCUCUCCACCCUGAGCCUUGAUCUUCAUCAGAAAUAGCAGACAAACAGCAAAAUGACUCAAAGGAAAAGGAAGCUGAAGCUCAGGGGAGCUGAAGAAUUGACCAAGCUCAUGUGGCGGGCGAAUGAACUCCUGGCCCAGCUGGAGAUUCACACAGCCCUGUUUAAUAAUCUGGAGGGUCACGUGACACAGCAAGACGGUGUGUCCUUUCUGAUCAUCUGCACUGAUCAGGUGACUGGGUAA
rnacentral:lncRNA from 1 species